rnacentral:rRNA from 1 species
GCGAGCUGCCUGCUUGAAACACUCUGAUUUUUUCAAAGUAAACGAUCCGACUCCCGACCCCGCUCAGUUAAGAGUAGGACCAGUCUCCGGAAGGAAGGACGCCCCCGCCAGUGCAUACCCAUCGGCAGACCGGCGGGCACGCCCCGAAAUCCGACUACGAGCGUUUUAACUGCAACAACUUUAAUAUACGCUAUUGGAGCUGGAAUUACCGCGGCUGCUGGCACCAGACUUGCCCUCCAAUUGAUCCUCGUGAAGAGAUGUAAAUUGUACUCAUUCCAAUUACAAGACUAAAAUAGCCCUGUAUUGUUAUUUCUUGUCACUACCUCCCUGUGUCAGGAUUCGGGCAAUUUACGCGCCUGCUGCCUUCCUUGGAUGUGGUAGCCAUUUCUCAGGCUCCCUCUCCGGAAUCGAACCCUAAUUCUCCGUUACCCGUAAACGCCAUGGUAGGCCUCGAUCCUACCAUCGAAAGCUGAUAGGGCAGAAAUUUGAAUGAACCAUCGCCGGCACAAGGCCAUGCGAUUCGAGCAGUUAUUGUGACUCAGCACGCAACCGGCAAGCCGGGUUGGUUUCUUAUCUAAUAAAUACAUCCCUUCCAAAGUCGGGACUUCCUGCAUGUAUUAGCUCUAGAAUUACUACGGGUAUCCAAGUAGUAAGGUACCAUCAAAUAAACCAUAACUGAUUUAAUGAGCCAUUCGCAGUUUCACAGUACAAGUCGCUUAUACUUAGACAUGCAUGGCUUAAUCUUUGAGACAAGCAUAUGACUACUGGCAGGAUCAACCAGGUAGCCCGCGACGAGGAUGCACCCGCAGCGACUGCACGACGCACCAUGAAACAUGGAACGCCCCACAGCCGCACACAAGCCACACCCACGCCCGGCAUUCGACACCAGGCCGACGCAACCACAAACGGACUAGCCGUUCGAGCCGCGACGACCGAGCGAUUCUCGCCGGAGGUGCACAGUACGCACAGGGCGGCCAAGCGACCGCAAUCAAGCAGCACGCGAGAACAAACCCCGCACGUCUAGAAUCACCAACACGCGCCGCACACACGCUCGCCCCGCGAAAGGACAAGCGACACGCACGACGCGCUGGCUGCCAACUCGGCGACGCCGUCACACCCGCACAGAAUGCAGGCGAAAAGCCACGCCGAGCGGCACAUCGAGCGACCACUCAAAGAGAGAUCACCAAUGCUCAGCCUCGGAAGCGCAUCGCAUCCGCCGCCACGACGCCUCAACACAAAUCGAACCCUCAAAAGAGAAGGCUCGACCAUCGAGGGUCAUGAAACGAACGACAGAGGAGGUGCCACCGAAAACCGAAAGAGCGGCCGCGCCGUCGAGCGACACUCCACGCCUCCAAAAGAAGCCGGAGGCCGACACAACGCCACGCGCCGCAGGAAAGUGCUGCGCACUCUUCGAAAGGUGCCCAAAGGGAAACCAUUCCGUCCUCAACCUGACUCGCGCUACACCGAGAGACCCGAAAGCCCCAAGGCCGCGCUCGCCACGUCCGGCGCAAUCAAGCGCCCACAGCCGCACGAGAGGUCGCCGCUUCCUUGGCCGAUGGCACCGAGGCCACCCGCCAGCUGCGCCCGCACAAGCUGCACUGUCUCUCGGCAGGCUGCCGACCGCGAUCGGAUCGCGGUGGCCAAGCCGCCUUCAACACGGAGAGAAGCACCAGCCGACCAGCUAGGCCGACUGCAACCGCUUCCUCACCCGCCAGCUGCGCCC